rnacentral:rRNA from 1 species
AUUGAACGCUGGCGGCAGGCCUAACACAUGCAAGUCGAACGAGUGGCGGACGGGUGAGUAAUGUAUGGGAAACUGCCUGAUGGAGGGGGAUAACUACUGGAAACGGUGGAUAAUACCGCAUACCAUCGGAUGUGCCCAGAGGGGAUUAGCUAGUCGGUGGGGUAAAGGCUCACCUAGGCGAAGCUCCCUAGCUGGUCUGAGAGGAUGACCGGCCACACUGGAACUGAGACACGGUCCAGACUCCUACGGGAGGCAGCAGUGGGGAAUAUUGCACAAUGGGCGAAAGCCUGAUCCAGCCAUGCCGCGUGUGUGAAGAAGGUCUUCGGAUUGUAAAGUACUGUUAGUUGGGAGGCGUUACCCACAGAAUAAGCACCGGCUAACUCCGUGCCAGCAGCCGCGGUAAUAC